CGCUACCCGGUGGGAGAGCGUCACCGGAUCGGUGACCGCCGAAGGAGCAAUACCUCUCCGUCAAUCUCUCAGGCACCCGGACCGCUGGGCUGAC
rnacentral:ncRNA from 2 species